rnacentral:rRNA from 1 species
AGUGAACGCUGGCGGUAGACCUAACACAUGCAAGUCGAACGGCAGCACAGUAAGAUCUUGCUCUUACGGGUGGCGAGUGGCGGACGGGUGAGGAAUACAUCGGAAUCUACUUUUUCGUGGGGGAUAACGUAGGGAAACUUACGCUAAUACCGCAUAUGACCUACGGGUGAAAGCAGUGGAUCUUCGCACCUUGCGCGAUUGAAUGAGCCGAUGUCGGAUUAGCUAGUUGGCGGGGUAAAGGCCCACCAAGGCGACGAUCCGUAGCUGGUCUGAGAGGAUGAUCGGCCACACUGGAACUGAGACACGGUCCAGACUCCUACGGGAGGCAGCAGUGGGGAAUAUUGGGCAAUGGGCGCAAGCCUGACCCAGCCAUACCGCGUGGGUGAAGAAGGCCUUCGGGUUGUAAAGCCCUGUUGUUGGGAAAGAACAGCAGCAGGUUAAUACCCCGCUGUUCUGACGGUACCCAAUGAAUAAGCACCGGCUAACUACGUG